AGUGAACGCUGGCGGCGUGCCUAAUACAUGCAAGUCGAACGGAGUGGCGCACGGGUGAGUAAUAUAUAGCUAAUCUGCCCCUUGCUGGAGGACAACAGUUAGAAAUGACUGCUAAUACUCCAUAGCAAGGGAUGAGACUAUAUCGUAUCAGCUAGUCGGUGGGGUAACGGCCUACCGAGGCUAAGACGCGUAACUGGUCUGCGAGGAUGAUCAGUUACGUGGGAACUGAGACACGGUCCACACACCUACCCUGGGGAGCUGUAGCGAAUACAGGGCAAUGGAGGUAACACUGACGCAGAAACGCGGCGUGGAGAAUAAUACUCUUGAGAGAGUAGACACUUCUUGUGAGGGAAUCGGUAACUAACGAAGAAGGCCCAGCAAACUACAUGCCAGCCGCCGCGGUAAUAC
rnacentral:rRNA from 1 species